AGUCUAAAGGCAGGAUUGCACUGUACAGUAGCAACUACAGGAGCAUGCCAGUGCUGUGUUUGCUGCUGAUUCUGCUUUUCUUUUGAAGUAGGCAAUGGAGCACCUUUGAUGGGAGAGGAGGUGAUGACCUUACUCUGCUCAUUCAAACCCAGCAUCUGCAUGAGAGAAGCUGCACAUCAAGGGAUGUAUUUUGUCAGAUCUGUGGGACCUUGGUGGCUUUUCAUGGAACGGUCAUCGACUCUCGUAUUUUAAUAGUAGUUCAAGAAUUUUCAUCAUGAAUAUGCUAAGCCCAAAAUCUUAAAAAUUCAUAAAAUUUUCAGCUGAAUGUGCAGAACAACAUUCAGUUGCUGAUAUUUAGGGAAAUUAGUCCCUGAGAACUGGGAGAUAGCUCAGUGGGAGCAAAGCCAGUUAGAAAAGUAUUCUGUGACUGCUUUAUUGUAACCUGCAGAAGUCUGCAUUUUGCGCAGCAUGAUAAAAUGUUCUCCAGUUAAUUCUCCCCACCACGCAAUUUUUUUUUUUUGUUUUUGCCCAGUAGAAAUGUAUUUAUGGAUCACUUGGCUUAUUGGUGCUAUUGUCUGCCGGGUUUUUUUCAUUGCUCCCAGUGAAUAAAGGUUUAAUAUUUUUCCUAAAUCGUGUAUUUUUACCUGCUUUCAGUUCAGUGUCAGUCCAGCCAAUGGCUGGGGAACGACUUCAGGCAAGGCUCCUCAGAGCCCCAGGGUGGCAGCAGGGCUGGCUGCAGGCUGAGGUGCAGGAGGUUGGCAGGGGUGAGGCAGCCCUUCAUCCCUCCCUCCAUGGGGCUUUCCCUCCUUGCCUGUAUCUGUCUCUGUAUUUAUUGGCAAUCUCCUGGAACAGUGACUCACUCUCCUGACUGUUUGUUUUCUCUUGAGUUUCUGCUCCAGAUGCUUGUCUGCAUAUCUCAGUGCCAUGGAUGCCAAGCUCCAUCAAACCAGGAGGAGGUCUGUGUGCUGAGAGGGGCUGCCUGGCCACAAGAAGGAAAGACAGGAGAGAAAUGAGGGAGUGAGCUCACGCCGUUCAGAUCGAUACUGGUCUUGUGACCCCUGUCACCAGCAGCCCCUGGCAUCUCCUAAGGACACAGCAGCUUCCAGGCUCAUGGGUCCAGCCAUGCCCUCUUCCCCCAGAAGAUGAUGUCUUAAAAUUUUCUGUGUGCUCUUUAGCAACCAGAGUGGUUGAUUCAGAAGCAGUGG
rnacentral:lncRNA from 1 species